AUUGAACGCUGGCGGCAUGCCUUACACAUGCAAGUCGAACGGCAGCAUGGAGAGCUUGCUCUCUGAUGGCGAGUGGCGAACGGGUGAGUAAUGCAUCGGAACGUACCGUGUAAUGGGGGAUAACGUAGCGAAAGUUACGCUAAUACCGCAUACGACCUGAGGGUGAAAGCAGGGGAUCGCAAGACCUUGCGUUAUACGAGCGGCCGAUGUCAGAUUAGCUAGUGGGUGAGGUAAAGGCUCACCAAGGGGACGAUCUGUAGCGGGUCUGAGAGGAUGAUCCGCCACACUGGGACUGAGACACGGCCCAGACUCCUGCGGGAGGCAGCAGUGGGGAAUUUUGGACAAUGGGGGCAACCCUGAUCCAGCCAUGCCGCGUGAGUGAAGAAGGCCUUCGGGUUGUAAAGCUCUUUCGGCCGGGAAGAAAUCGCACAGGCUAAUACUCUGUGUGGAUGACGGUACCGGCAUAAGAAGCACCGGCUAACUACGUGCCAGCCGCCGCCGUAA
rnacentral:rRNA from 1 species